rnacentral:piRNA from 1 species
UACUAUCAACUGCCCCAGAGGAUGACUCAGU